rnacentral:lncRNA from 1 species
GUCUCAAGCUCCUGACCUCAAGCGAUCCUCCUGCCUCAGCCUACCAAAUUGUUGGGAUUGUAGGUGUGAACCACUGCACUCUGCCCAGAGGUUUCAAAGUGAACUUUUUUUCUUUAAUCAAGAUGGGGUCUCACUAUGUUGCCCAGACUGGUCUCAAACUCCUGAGCUCAAGCGAUCCUCCCGCCUUGGCAUCCCAAAUUGCUGGGCUUACAGGCAUGAGCCACUGCACCUGGCCUCAAAGUGGAAUGUUUUUAGUGGGGGGAAGGUGCUGGAUAUUACUGUCAGUCCUUUAGAGGAAGUAAAAUAAAUCCUACAGGUACAUUGACAUUCUCAGGUCACUUUCAGAGGGAUGAGCAAUAAAUUCAUUCAAUGCCUUCUUUACUAAAAGCAUUAGAGAUAAAGAAAUUCUGGAAGUAAAUCUUGCUGAAAUGCAUUUUGUCAGGGGAACUCAGUUGAACAAAAACUAAAGGUUGAGUUCAGAAAAGGUAAAUGUCUUUUACCAAGAUUUAGUUCUUUUCUUCCAGGUAGAUAUGCCUUUUCUUAGGAUCUGGAGUGAGAGGCUGUUGGAAAAUAAGGGUUGGGGAAAGCCACAGAUGGAAUUUUACAAAUUGGAGACAGCUACUUAAUAGAAACGGCAUCUCAUCAGACAAGUCAAGGCAACUGUUGAAAAUAUGACAUGUCUCUCUAUCAGCCAUUCAUGGCCCAGGACACUAUGGCAACCAAAUCCAAACUGCUGGUUCAAAGAGAUUAGUCUGAAUCCCAAAAGAAUCCUAAUUCUCUCCUGAUUUAUUAAGGAAGAAAACAACAACCGCCUUUAUUUGCAAUAUUAUUGCAUUGCAUGCAAUCCUAGGAAAAGGUGUGGCUGUUAUUUUUGAAGAAGUACUCACCCUAUACUAGAUACAGUAUGAAACAUUAUUCAUGCGUCAUUGCAUUUAUUUCUCACGUGAUCUCAAGAGGUAGAUGCUACUGUCAUCCUGAUUUUAAGAUGAAGAAAGCAAGCCUUAGGGAGUUAAAGGGAACUGCCCAAGGUCAAACAGCUGGAAAGAGACUUGGCCAGACGCAAAAACAGUCUGAUGCCCGGUUCAAGGUCCUUUAGUUUCAUCUGUCCAGUAAGUAGACAGAGUAUUUGAUACUUGGGCUGGACUAGACAAAUCUAUGAUGUGUAAUUGUUCUGUGAACUCACAGAUCCUAGCGUGAAGAGUUUUUUGUUUUGUUUUGUUUUGGUUUUUUUAGAUGCAGUUUCGCUCUUCUUGCCUACGCUGGAGUGCAAUGGCGUGAUCUUGGCUCACUGCAACCUCCACCUUCCGGGUACAAGUGAUUCUCCUGCCUCAGCCUCCUGAGUAGCUGGGACUACAGGCACCCACCACCAC